rnacentral:rRNA from 1 species
UACAGAGGGGGCAAGCGUUGUCCGGAUUUACUGGGCGUACAGCGCGCGCAGGCGGUUGCGUAUGUGAGCGGUGACAUCCGCGGGCUCAACCCGCGGCGGCCCGCUUACACCGCGCGACUGGAGGCAGGGAGAGGGAUGUGGAAUACCCGGUGGAGCGGUGAAAUGCGUAGAGAUCGGGUGGAAAACCAGGGGCGAAGGCGGCAUCCUGGCCCUGUACUGACGCUGAGGCGCGAAAGCUAGGGGAGCAAACGGG